rnacentral:rRNA from 1 species
AUUGAACGCUGGCGGCAGGCCUAACACAUGCAAGUCGAACGAGUGGCGGACGGGUGAGUAAUGUCUGGGAAACUGCCUGAUGGGGGGGGAUAACUACUGGAAAAGGUAGCUAAUACCGCAUACCAUCAGAUGUGCCCAGAUGGGAUUCGCUAGUUGGUUGGGUAACGGCUCACCAAUGCGACGAUCCCUAGCUGGUCUGAGAGGAUGAUCAGCCACACUGGAACUGAGACACGUGCCAGAAUCCUACGGUAGGCAGCAGUGGGGAAUAUUGCACAAUGGGCGCAAGCCGGAUGCAGCCAUGCCGCGUGUAUGAAGAAGUCCUUCGGGUUGUAAAGUACUUUCAGCGGGGAGGCGUUACCCGCAGAAGAAGCACCGGCUAACUCCGUGCCAGCAGCCGCGGUAAUAC